UACGUAGGCAGCGAGCGUUGUUCGGAAUUACUGGGCGUAAAGAGCGUGUAGGCGGUUUGGUAGGUCCGCUGUGAAAACUCGAGGCUCAACCUCGAGACGCCGGUGGAAACCAUCAGACUAGAGUCCGGAAGAGGAGAGUGGAAUUCCUGGUGUAGCGGUGAAAUGCGCAGAUAUCAGGAAGAACACCCGUGGCUAAGGCGGCUCUCUAGUACGGUACUGACGCUGAGACGCGAAAGCGUGGGGAGCGAACAGG
rnacentral:rRNA from 1 species